rnacentral:pre_miRNA from 1 species
AAUAAGUGCAGUUUUACAUUUCACGUCUUAUUUGAAAAAUUUAUAUGAUUAGUAUUUUUGUUAUUAUUAGAUAAUAUGAAUAGUAUUUUAUGUGUGACUAAUUUUUUUUAUUUUUUACAUAAAUUUUUUAAAUAAGACGGACGGUCAAACGUGGGAUACGGAUAUCACGACUGCGCUUAUU